UAGGGAAUCUUCCACAAUGGACGCAAGUCUGAUGGAGCAACGCCGCGUGAGUGAAGAAGGUUUUCGGACCGUAAAGCUCUGUUGUUGGUGAAGAAGGAUAGAGGUAGUAACUGGCCUUUAUUUGACGGUAAUCAACCAGAAAGUCACGGCUAACUACGUGCCAGCAGCCGCGGUAAUACGUAGGUGGCAAGCGUUGUCCGGAUUUAUUGGGCGUAAAGCGAGCGAGGCGGAAGAAUAAGUCUGAUGUGAAAGCCCUCGGCUUAACCGAGGAAUUGCAUCGGAAACUGU
rnacentral:rRNA from 1 species